AUUCGCUUGAUCAAUAUAUUUAAGAAGAAAAAAAAAUAUAUAAUAUAUAUAUGUAAUAUUUUCUUUUUAAAUGUAGAAUGUAUCAGUUAUAGGAAAAUGCAACGAAAUAGAAAUACAUAUGCAUUGCACGAACAUGGAAAUAGAUCGCAAUUAUGUGAAUUAUACGAGUCCUUGAACGACAAAAAAGAAAAAAAAAAAAAAAAGAAAAAAGAGAGAAAAAAAAGGAAAAAAACGGAAAAUAAAAGUAAAACGCAACAAAUUAAACAGAUAGUAAAAUGAAUUAUUCACGAAAGGAACGAUAAACAAAUGACAAGACUCACUUGCUGUUUGUGCUUAGUAGGCCUUUAAAAAAAAAUGUAACGGGAGAACGUGAAGUAUGGAGUAUGACUCAUAAAAAAUUAUCGAAUACUUUUUAAAACUGUAUCACAUCUCGUUUUAGUAUGAUCCCUAAUAUACAUUAUCAUCUAUUUUUACAAUAGAAUUAUAAAAGAUAGGAUACUAUCUUCCAAGUUCAAGUAUUUCGUCGGACAAAUUUAUAUAUAUAUAUAUAUAUAAUAGAUAUCAUAGAAUAUUUAUAUAGAAAAAAAGUAUAACUAUAUAUCAAAAAUGCAUCUGUCGAUCGAUGAAGAAUUCUUGGAAAAUAUAAAAUCUUUUGAAACAUAUAAUAUCUCUUGAAAAAUAUGAAAUUAAUGAUUUUCGACAGAUAUGCAUGUACUUAUACUUAUUCAUGUAUAAUUUAUGAACUUUUCCAAAACGUAUUACGAUAACGAAAUUAAGUCGUUGCAAUCUGAAGUUGCAUAAAAAAAAAAAAAAAAAUAAGGAAAAGAUAUCUGCGUAGAACAUGUCUAGCACAGGUACAUACAUACAUAUAUACAUACAUACAUACAUACAUACAUACAUACAUACAUACAUACAUACACAGCACACAGCACAAUGCAAUACAACAUAUAUACAAAAUACUGAAGCAAUGAAGAUAAAACGUUACGGAUAAACGUGGACACAUACGUAACAUACUGUUAGAGAAUACGAUGCAAUAGUAUAUCCUCUUUUUCAUCAUCCGGCAUACUUAGAUGUAAAAAAAAAAAAAAGAAAAAAAAAGGAAGAAAAAAAAAAUUAAAAAAAGUUUCGUAUUGAGUCCGCCGCUUUUAAUUGCUCGCUUCCUCUUUCGAGUACCACUCUUUUAGACGGCCCGACAAGGUACUAUUAGGGUUGAAAGCAGAUUUUUCUGUAUGCGUUGCUUCCAUGCUACUGGCAUGUAGCCCACCUACGUCAGCCAUCGCCGGCCAUUCUAAUUGGUGUAAGGAGAGUAGAGAAUGAACGAAAAAAAGGUGCUGUUAGAGGAGGAGGAGGAAGAGGAAGAGGAGGAGAAGGAAGAGGAGGUUAGCGAAUUAGAGAAAUGACUCUUCUUUACUCGUCAAGUGGUGCAGAGUUUGAAAGGGAGAGGAAGGGUCAUUGGCCUUUAACUUGUACAGCAGAGCACCCGUUGGCAGACGUUUUUUCGCAGAGAAAACCGAUUACGAAUUAAUCAUCACGUUG